CUGGGGCACAGUCACAUCCGUUCUUUGACAUACUAUUGACUGGCUGCUUUCUUGCUACAUCUGCAGCAUUGAAUAAUUGUCACAAAGACCACCUAGCUUGAAAGUCUAAAAUAUUUACUAUCCAGCCCUUUAGGAAUAAGUCUGCCAAUCGCUCUUCUAGAUCCAAGUCCACAUGCCAAAUACUGGGAUGGUAAUGCUUGGCCUUAGGUAGGGAACCAGACACAGAAGAGCACGCACAGUUGAAAUCGUCAGUUGAUUCUGUUGGGGUUCCACUGCUCUUCCCCAAGACCAGGGCCCAUCAGUUGUUGAUGCUGCUUUGUUCAUUUCUUACCAGCCACACUGGAGAAUUAGGAGGAGGUGUGACCAGAGUCAAAACACCUGCUUCUUUCUUACCUGUGAUGAGAUGCCAAUACCUGUCAAUCAUCUCAUUUGUGAACCUCUGCUUUGGCCUUCAGUGGCUUCCACUUGGGCCUUGCUCUUACAAGUUCAAGUCCUGUGUUUGUUAUCUACCAGAAGCUUCCUGUUUGGGUAGGAGAGCAACGAAGAGGCUCAUCUGAAGGGACCAGUGCUAGCCACAGGUGGCUACUUAAAUUAAAAUCCAAAGUGAAUUAGAUUGAGAUGCUGAACCAGUGGGGCUGCCUGAUCUUGGACUUGAACAUCCAAACCCGUGAGCCAAAGUGGAACUCCUUCCUUCAUAUGUGGCUUGUCUCUGGUAUUCUGCUGUAGUAAUAUAAACUAAUGCAAUCCACAUUUCCGACUUGAAACCUCUCUAAGGCUCAUAGGGGGCAGGAGUGAAGUAAAGGCAAUGAGAGGCUAUUUUAAGCAAAAUUGGUCAAACAUGGGCCCCUCGGAUGACACCUGGUCUGCUGUUCUGGGUCUGUCCAGGUAUACUUCCCACUGAUCACUGCCAAGUUCUCGGCUUUUGAGGAGGAAAUGGGAAUUCAGGAACAACUGAUUUGUGCGAUUUGAUCAGUAUUUUUAUUCUGAAAAGUAUAGCCAACAGCACCCUAGGAAAAACUUGGGGCUACCCUGGGUAAAGCAGUUGAAUUUUGUUUUUAAAGUUUAGAAAUGUUAGUGGUUAGGUCCCUUCUCCAGUCUUGGGUGGCAUUGGCAUGCAAAGAAAUUCAAAGACUUUGUAGGAAAAUGGAAUCGGAAGAUGUUUAUUUCGGUGCAAAACAUUUUGAAAUCCACGCGCAGUUUUUUAUGAUGCUCAUUUCCCCCGGACUUUUGGAAGAUCCUUUAUCCAACGACGCAGGCUUGGGGUGGGGGAUGGGAGCCUUCUUUUCAGGGUCUGGGGCUCAGCCAACCUCCAACUGAGGACUGAGGAGG